UAGACUUCUGGCAAGUUUAUACUUUUGUGAAAAUUAGAAAGAUUUUUUUCCAUUACAUUUUUUACCUGGUUAUUGCUGGAUUGGAAGAGUCACAAAAUUCCACGCACACAACUUGGAUGUAAACAAAAAAUACAGCACACAUAAUCUGGUCUUUUUCUGAAUUCCACGUCCAAAAUUUGGCAGAAAAAAAAAAGUGUUCAAUCUCCUGUGAAUCUACUCUGAUCUGCUAUACUAAAAAAUACUUAGUCUUUUUGUGCUGCAUUUUUCCCCCCUUCCCCAUUAUCUCCUCCUAAGCCUUGCCUGGGAAUUGCAAGCCCACCAGAGAUCCUAUUCUGUCACUAAGCAAAAUCUGAUUUACAAUUUUGGCUGAGGAGAGGGAACAUAUUAAAACAUAUCAACAAUUUUAGAAUCAAUAUUAUUAAAUUUCAUGUAGGUUUUAGAAAUGUUUUACUUGUAUACUUUAGACUUCAUUUUAUAAAAUUACAUUUUUAAAACUUUUUACAUUUUUAGGAAAUACAUGUUAGCUAAAAAACUGUGUUUUGCUCCCUGCUACGUUUGCUUAUCCUAUCCUUCAUUACUCCUUGGAUUUUAGUCUAACUGGUCUUGGGACAUGCCUCUUCCCCACAAACACCCCCACCACCAUACCACAUUGCUGUGACACAUUUAGCUUGUUAAUGUGGUAAGAGUGGAGCUCACUUACAGAAUUUUUGCAGACUAGACCUUAGGCUACAGGUCUUUACCAUGGAGCAGAAAAGUGGUAUCUCAAACCUCAUCCACAAAGGUUGAUCUAGUCCAAGCCCCUCUCCAGGUUCAUGUCCAUGUACAGCUUUGUUCUUAUUGUAACAACCUACAUUUUAGAAUAGGCAACGAAGACCAUUACCAAGAGCAGUAGGAGGGGCAACCUUCGGCUGUUUGUUUUUCAGGAUCUCAACUUGUGAACUUACUCUUCUCUUCACAGAAUGGGAUAACUGCCUGGCACUCACCAAGCUACACUUGAAGAGGAUCAAUCCAUGUCAUCAUGUCCCCAAUUUCAUAGCACCAAGUAUUUUGUUUAUUCACAAAUGCCCUAUUAUGGACAUCUAGCAAACAAUGAUACAUCAGAAAAGGAGAUGUGCAUAAAUUUUCAUGGAAUAAGGUAUAAAGCCCAACUCUCAAUACAUACUAAUCAUAACAGGAGUCUAAGAAAUAUUCUGAAAUAAAUGGGAAUGCAGAAUGUGUCAGGCCUCUGAGCCCAAGCUAAGCCAUCAUAUCCCCUGUGACCAGCACGUACACAUCCAGAUGGCCGGUUCCUGCCUGGAUGCGCAUGAAAGAAUGUGCCACAGAAAAUGAGACACAUCAAUGAGGCCUAGACAGGCAACUUAUGCCAUUGUGAGAUACAAAAUAGUUCAUAUAACAUAGCAAGGGGAUAUCAUUCUAGAAUUAAACUCAUGUUACAGAAAUUUCAUCACGAAGACAGUGUACCAACAGUAUACCCCCCUGCCCCCUGCUGACAUAGUGAAGACUUGUGGGAAGUAUCAGAAAGAGAACUGGAAUUAAGGAGGAAAAUCAAGAUUUAUGUUUCUUAUCGCCAAUUUUUAAUUUUCAUUUGUAGGUUGUGGAAAAUGCACUAGAAUCAACAAACAUGGGGACUAAUUCAACUCGGAUAUCAUGUCUUCAGAGAAGUUUCUCCUGCCCUCCUCUCCCUGUAGAAUUAAGUAUUCUUCCACUGUGCCACCCUCUAACUUGUGCUCAUAUCUUCCUCUAUUGUAGUUAUGUGUUCACAUCCCUGUUGUUUUUGUACCGGCUUCUCCCAAAGGGAGACAUUUAGUCUUAUUCUUCUUGGUAACUUUAGCACAGACCUGGCAGAUUGUUGACACUCAACAAAUGUUUAUUGACUCAAAUGCAUUCAGUUGAACAUUGACCUUUGAUCAACUCUGGGAAAAGUCUGCAAAGCUAGUUAGGACAUUCAGAAAUUCAUUUCAUUUCAAUCCUAACUAAAUAAAUUAUUGAAGUCUCAGAACUUCUCAGUACUUGAUUUAGACACAUAGAAACUUGGGUAAAUAACACCUAUAUUGUUAUAUUCCUCAAGAAAAAGUUUAUCUUUUCAUGAAAUGAAUCUACUGAGGAUAUUUAUAGAAACUGAAUGUAAGUGAGCAGAAUAAAGUGGUGUGUGUGUGUGUGUGUGUGUGUGUGUAUGUAAUUUGAAGAGUAGGUGGGAGAAGGUUGUGAUAGGAUAGCAGAUCUUGUUUAUGAUAGUCACCAGCUAUAACAGACACUGCCUGAUGCCUUUCCAAUAUCCACUUCCCUUUUCUUUUUUUUCUUUUUGGAACAGAGUCUCACUCUGUCCCCCAGGCUGGAGUGCAACAGCACGAUCUCGGCUUACUGCAUCCUCUGCCUCCUGGGUUCAAGCAAUUCUCAUGCCUCAGCCUCCCUAGUAGCUGGGAUUACAGGCUCUCGCCACCACGCCCAGCUAAUUUUUGUGUUUUUAGUAGAGACGGGGUUUCGCCAUGUUGGCCAGGCUAGUCUUGAACUCCUGACCUCAGGUGAUCCACCUGCCUCAGCCUCUCUAAGUGCUGGGAUUACAGGCGUGAGCCACCGUGCCUGGCUCUCUUUUCUUACUUAAUGUCUGUGUCAAUUAAAUAGAAAUGUAUCAAGUUAAAAACCUUGCCUCGGUAGCUUCCAGUGCAAAUAAAGGUACCCAUGCCACCCCAUUCUGGCCAGCAGUAAAAUUGAUGGAAGCCUCUGGUUGGGGCUUCAAGGAAAGCUUUAUCAAAAGAUAAACUCACUGGCUUUGUCCCUUAGUUCAGUGGUCCCCAACCUUUUUGGCACCAAGAGACCAGUUUUGUGGAAGACAAUUUUUUCCAUGGACCAGGAGGGUUCCGGGGGAUGGUUUUGGGAUGAAAAUGUUUCACCUUAGAUAUCAUCGGGCAUUCAAUUCUCAUAAGGAGCCUGCAACCUAGACCUCUCACAUGUGCAGUUCACAAUAGGGUUCAUGCUCCUAUGAGAAUCUAAUGCCACUGCUGAUCUGACAGGAGGCAGAGCUCAGGCAGUAAUGCUCACUAGUUCCGUUGCUCGCCUCCUGCUGUGCAGCCCAGUUCCUAACAGGACACAGACCAGUACUGGUUCGCAACCCAGGGUUUGGGGGCCCCUGUCUUAGUUCCUUUGCCUUCCUUCCAGAUGGAUGCCUGGAGGAACAAUCAUCCCGCAAUUGUGAAAAUUGAAGCCAUAUUUUAAAGUUGGUUUCAAUUGUAAUACAGAAGAAAUCUGGACCUUGAUGACAUUUGAGCUAGAGUACUAAUCUUGAUCUUCCUAUUCAUGAGCUUGUUGCAAGAGACAAGACUUUUACUGAUUUAACUCAUUGUUGGGAUUUCUUGGAACUAAACACAGUCAUAAUACAUUUUUUCCUUCCCAGGAAAAUGGUAGAGCAUGACUUUUCAAAUCUAAUAAAACUCAUGUGUAGCUAAAACCACUCUACUGAAACAAUUCCAUCUCAGCCCAUGGUACAAGGGAUUUUCCUGAAUGAAAAAUGGUGUCUGAUCAUUUUGUUGGUUUCUUUGUUGGUUUUUCCUGAAACUUAGGGUUAAAGAAUCCAGGAAAGUUGUCUUAGAUAGAGUUAUAAUUUCCGUGGACAUCAACUGAUAAAUGCAAUUACAGUUUGUAUGCCUAGGUUUGGCAAAAAUCAUAUAAGCAACAUCCCUCACAUAAUAUUGUUUUAAUUAAAUUUUAUUUCUUUCUUGGUAUGAAACAUACUGCAGAAGCACAAUCAAUGAACAUUGGAUAGUUUCCUUAAAUCUUGCUCUUUGUCCUAUUUAUAUAAUUUAUUGUGUCAGUGGUUCUCAAGUGGUAUGCUCCUGCAACUCAUCAUCUGAAAAUCCUUCCCAGAUGUGCUGAAAAAUUUUCAUUAAUUUGUAUAUUCUAUUUUAUUUUUAUAACUAAGUACACAUGCUUGUGACUGGAAGAGAAGACACCCCUCAUUUAAUCCCAGAGGAAUAUUUGGCCUUGAUUCAUGCCCUGCUCACUCCACCCCAUUAUUAAGAUAGAGAUCGCUGAAGAAAUCCCUGCUCUAUAAAUGUAGCUGAUCCAAAAACAAAAUGGAAAUUCAUUAUUUUAAAUAUUUCUACAAGAUCUUUGUACAACUCUAUUUUUUUUUCCUAUUAAGAAUUACAUGAUUCUAGAAUAAGUUCCAACCCUAAGUAUCAACACUGGAACACAAUUUUAAAACAGGAGGCGAUUAUCUCUAUAGUGAGAUUUAACUACAGAGGUGAUAGCUCUGGUUAGUGAAUUUCAGGACUAGAAAUCAGGCCUGCUGUCUCUUAGCUUAGAGGAGGUAUAAUAAGAAGAGGAUUAGAACUACUGUGUAUAUUAACAAGAAGAACUCUAUUAUGUUCAGCUAUCAUUAUAUAUGAUAUUAUGUUUCUUUUUAUGAACUAUAGUUCACUGUCUUUAAGCAUAAUGUUUGCCCAAGGUGGGGGUGUUGGUGUGUGUCUGUGUGUAUAUGCAUGUGUGCACAUGUGUGUAUGUAUAGUUGAUUCAUUCAUUCUGACCUACUGAAUUUACUGAAGGAAUAAGAAGAAAUACCUUGAACUGAGGGACCUGGCUUAGCUCAACAUCUGUACCAUCUACCUUUGAGUAUCCAUUCCUUUACUAUGAAGCAUGGAUGCUAAAACUAAAAUUGCAUUUGCUAAACUACUUUGUAGCUAGAUUCCUGGGUGAGAUUAGAUUUGGUCAAUUAGAUGUUCUUGUGUAACAUUUAGAAGGUGAUAGUAAGGCAAAGGUCAUGUGACUGGCUGAUUUUAUUUAUGUUCAAUGAUCUUUAUUGGGGUACACUUUAUAUAUAAUAAUAAAUAAUGCACACAUUUUAAGUGUACAAUUUGAUGAGUUCUGACAAAUUUAUAUGCAUGUAUAACCAGCAUCAAUAUCAAGAUAUAUAAUGAUCCCCUCAUUCCAGAAUAGUCUCUUGUGUUCUUUCCAGCCAAUGCCCCACCCCUGGAUUCUGGCAACAAUUGAUCUGCUUUUUAUUACCAUGGAUUAUAUUUGUCUUUCCUAGAGAUACAAAUAAAUGAAAUAAUGUAGUGUGUCCUCUUUAACUUUGGCUUAUUUCUCUCGGCACACUAUUUCUGAAAUUUGUCCAUACUGUUGAUAUGGCAGACAGAAUUUUAAGAUGGUUCCUAAAAUUCUUGCCUCCUGGUAUGUAUAAUUUUCUCUCGGUUUUCCGCUGAACACUAACCUAGGUGCUAUUGUAAAGGGAUUUCUCAAGUGUAAUUAAAGUCCCUAAUAAGUUUAUUUUAAGUUAGAAAAAUUUUCCCAGGUGAGCUUGAGCUAAGUGAGUGACCUAAGCAGGUGAGUUGUUAGAAAAAAAUUAAGAGAUAUUUGAAGCGUAGACAAAAUUCUGUUGGCUUUUAAAAGAAAACUUCCAUGUGAUAGAGAAAGCCAGAUGAUAGGGAACACAAGGUUACCUCUAAAUUGACAACCAGCAAAAAAGCUGAGACUUCAGUCUUAUCAUCAUAAGGAAUUGAAUUCUGUCAACAGCCACGUGACCUUAGAGGAGGCCCCUGAGCCGCAGAUGAGAUCAUGGCCCUGGCCAAUACCUUAAAUUCAUCCUGGUGAGAUAUGAGCAGAGAACUCAGCUAUGCCAUGCUCAGAUUUCUCACCUGUAGAGCAGUAAAUUAAUAAGUGAGCAUUAUUUGAAGCUGCUAAGUUUGUGGUGAUUUGUUACACAUCAAGAGAAAACAUAUGCUGUAUAUAUUAUUAGAUUUUUCCUUUAUAUUGGUGGGUGUAUUUGUUAUCUAUUACUUCCUAACAAAUCGACAAUAAUUAAGUGUCUUAAGACAACACAUAUUUAUUACCUCAUAGUUUCUGUGGGUCAGAAAUCUGGGCAUGGUUUAUGUGAGUUCUUUGAUUUAAAGUUGUUGGCAAAUCUGUAAACAAGGAAGCAGUCAGGACCGAGGUCUCAUCUGAAAGUCAACUUGGGAUGGGUCUGCUUCCAGCCUCACUUAACAUAACAGCUGGCAGGAUUCAGUUGCUCUUGGGUAGUUGGAUUGAUGGCCUCAGAUAACUAGGUAGCUAUUAGCUAGAUUUCACCCUCAGUUUGUUGCCGUGUGGGCCUCCCUAAGGUGGCAAUUUACUUCAUCAAAACCAGCAAGGGAGAGAGUUGGCUACAAUCUCUAGUAAUGUAGCUACAGAAAUGACAUCCCCUUAGCAAUGAGAUAUUUUAUUAAUUAGAAAGAAAUUACUCAACAGGAGGGGAUUACACAAUGUAGUGAAUACCAGGAGGCUGAGAUCAGAAGGAGCUAGUGUAGAAGCUGCCUACCACAGUGAGUAGUAUUCUAUUACAUGAAUAUACCAGAAUGUCUGAAUCCACCCAACUGGGCAUAGACGUUUGUGUUCAUUCAAGAUACAGACUAUUAUUAUUUUAAAAAUAAAAGUUACUAUGAACAUUUAAGUAUAAGCUUUUGUGUGGGCGUGUUUCAUUUGUUUUGAAUGAAAUUGCAGGGUCGCAUAGAAAAUGCAUAUUUAAUCUUAUAAGAAGCUGCUUAAAAUGCUUUGCAAUGUGAUUUUACCAUUUUACACUCCCAACAAUGUAUAGCAAUAUAUCAUAGAUCUAGUGGUUUCAUAUCUCCACAAACACUUGAUAUUGUCACUCAGUUUAAUUGUAGCUACUUAAAUAGGCUUAUAAUGGUACUCGUUAUGAUUUUAAUAUGCAUUUCCCUAAUGCCUAUUAGGGACUAAUUAUGUUAAGCAUCUUUUCAUGUAUUUGGAGGCCAUUUGUGUACCUUCAUUUGUAAAAUAUCUGUUUAAGUAGCUUGCCCAUUUGGAUUGCUUUACAUUUUAUUAUAGAGUCAUAAGCAUCCUUUAUAUAUUCUGAAUAUAACUCUUUU
rnacentral:lncRNA from 1 species